rnacentral:rRNA from 1 species
AGUAACUACUGGAAACGGUAGCUAAUACCGCAUAACGUCGCAAGACCAAAGAGGGGGGACCGUUCCGGGCCCUCUUGCCAUCAGAUGUGCCCAGAUGGGAUUAGCUAGUAGGUGGGGUAACGGCUCACCUAGGCGACGAUCCCUAGCUGGUCUGAGAGGAUGACCAGCCACACUGGAACUGAGACACGGUCCAGACUCCUACGGGAGGCAGCAUG